rnacentral:misc_RNA from 1 species
GAUGAAGAACGUAGCGAAAUGCGAUACGUAAUGUGAAUUGCAGAAUUCAGUGAAUCAUCGAAUCUUUGAACGCAUAUUGCGCUCUUUGGUAUUCCGAAGAGCAUGCUUGUUUGAGUAUCAGUAAACACCUCAACCUCUUCUUGAUUUUUCAAAAGGAGGGUGGACUUGAGCUAUCCCAACAACCUUUACCGGUCGGCGAGCGGCUUGAAAUGCAGGUGCAGCUGGACUUUUAUCUGAGCUAAAAGCAUAUCUAUUUAGUCCUCGUCAAACAGGAUUAUUACUUUUGCUGCAGCUAACAUAAAGGAUAAUUGUCCUCUUUGCUGACUGAUGCAGGAUUUUACGACACUUUAUGUGUUGUUCAACUCGAUCUCAAAUCAAGUAAGACUACCCGCUGAACUUAAGCAUAUCAAUAAGCGGAGGA